CACCAGCACAGUGCAGAUGAGGUGUUCGGUUAAUAAACAGCGUUUAUAGUUCAAGCGUAGUCAGGCAAUCCAGGUCAUACACAUUAAGUCUCAGGUUUCAGGCACAAAAGGAGCAGGCAAGACCAGAUCCAGAAAACAUGCGAGGGUUCAGUACACAGGUGAGCUCAGCAGAGGUAGAGACUAGGAGUAGGCAAAUAGCGAGGUCAGACAGUCAGAAGGUUUCCACUAGAUCCAGGCGUAGGUACAAUCGAGGGACAGACAGGAAUCGGAGGUCAGUAAACGGACGUGAUCAAGGAACAAGGUAAGCGAUACUGUGAACGCUGGAAAGUGGUACUGGUACGCAGCAAUCUGGCGUCUGACUGCUGGUGGAGGUGGUGCUUAAAUACCGGGUGUGAUUCCUAACUACUGGCAGGUGUGCUUAAAGCUCCCUGAUCAUACAGCUUUUCACUCUAAAGAAUAUUGGACUUUAAUGUCUCAGUAAGGUCUCUGUAAAUUUUCAUUCCAUAAAACCCUUUAGAUCGUCCACACUGCCCCUGUCAAUAUGUUGUUUUCACUCCCCAUCAGCAAACGCUGUGUUUUCUGGGCGUGUCGCAAGCGAAGCUGCUCACCACACCUCUGUGCGGAAGCGCAUACCUUUUUUGUUGUUGUUGUUAUUUGGCUCCAUGGAUACGAGCCACCGCACGGUUAGGAUACUAUAGGUGGCAGUAGUGCAACGUUGAGAAUACAAUCCACCGCCAUCCUCCACAGAAGAAGAAGACCCGCUACAGGACUGCACGACGUUAGCCAGCCAGCUGGUUCGUAGCGUUGUAGAACCAUACGUCUACGAUCCCGAAUCUGACCCUGAAGCUGAAGAGGAGGCUGUUGAAGUCGCCACAUUUCGGCUGAUGCAAGAUGUGUCUCAUUGUUGUUACAGGUAACUUGUCUACAGAGGCUAGUGAGCUGGUGCUGAGGAUUCCUGGGGUGAAGAAUCUGAGUUGCCAUCUCUUCAUGCUCGGGUUGUAGAUGAAGGCAGAGUUUCCUGAUGGAUAAAACACUAAAACACUCAUUGUAUGAUGGAUGUAAACCACCUGUGGAAUAACUCCUUUACCAUUUGAGUAAAAAUGUGUUUUUUGUGAGUGCAAUACUCAAAGAAUUUUUUUAUUUUUUAUUUAUAUAUAAUUUAUAUGCUUUUUAUUUAUGGCCGCUUCAACUUUAUAGCUUACCAUAUUAGAAAGAGAAAAAACAUGUAAUUUCAAUACUAUGAUUUCCUGAAUAAAAGUGUUUUCC